CAGCUCUGAUGGACCCUCGCGGCAGACUUAACACAUCCAAGUCGAGCGUAUCACGUGAGCUUGCUCCGGGAUUCGCUGCGGACGGGUGAGUAACCCUCGGAUUGUGCCGGGAGGGGGGGGAGAACCUCGGGAAACGGCCGGUAAUCCUGCUUACGUCCAGAGGACGAAAGUGGGGGAUCUUCGGACCUUAACUUAUCGAAGGAUCCUAGGUGCAUUAAGUAGGUGGUAGGGUUAAGGCCUACCAAGGCCGCGAUGCGUAACCGACUUGAGAGGGUGAUUCGCCCCACUGGGAAUGAGACCCCGCCCCGAAUCCUACGGGAGGCCGCCAUUGGGAAUUUUGGGCAAUGGGGGGAAACCUGAACCAGCCCCGCCGGCUGGGUGAAGAAGGUUUUUGGGUUGUUAAACUCCUUUAUUUUGGAAGAACAAGCAUUGAAUUAAUUCCUCGCAUUUUGGACGUUCCUAACAGAAUAAGCACGGGUAAAUUUGGUCCCACCAGCCGCGUUAAUACUAAGGGUCCAAGCUUUUCUGGAAUUUUUUGGGCGUAAAGCGGGGGUAGGUGGUUCAUCAAUUUGAAUGGGAAAUCCCCGGGUUCAACCUGGGAAGUGCAUCCAAAACUGGUAAGCUAGAGUCCGAAGGAGGAAGGUGAAAUUUCAGGUGUAGCGGUGAAAUGCGUAGAAAUAGGAAGGACCCCCGGGGGGGAAGGCACCCUCUUGUCCGUAUAUUGCCAUUGAGGUGGGAAAGCUUGGGGAGCAACCAGGAUUAGUUCCCUGGUUAUUCCACCCGGUAAAGGAGGUUGAUUAGCCGUGGGGGCUUGAGAUCUUAGUGGCGCAGCUAACGCGAUAAGUCCACCGCCUGGGAGUACGGCCGCAAGGUUAAAAAUCAAAUGAAUUGACGGGGGCCCGCACAAACGGUGGAGCAUGUGGUUUUAUUUCAAACAACGCGAAAAAACUUACCUGGCCUUGACAUGCUGAGAACUUUCCAGAGAUGGAUUGGUGCCCUUCGGAACUCAGACACAGGUGCUGCAUGGCUGUGUCCAGCUCGUGUCGUGAGAUGUUGGGUUAAGUCCCGUAACGAGCGCAACCCUUUUCCUUAUUUACCAGCACCUCGGGUGGGGACUUUAAAGAUACUGCCCGUGACAAACCCGAAGAAGGUGGGGAUGACGUCAAGUCAUCAUGGCCCUUACUGACAUGGCUACACACGUGCUACAAUGGUCGGUACCAAGGGUUGCCAAACCCCGAGGUGGAGCUAAUCCCAUAAAACCGAUUCUAGUCUCGAAUUGAAUCUGCAACUCCACUGCGUGAAAUCGGAAUCCCUAGUAAUCCUGAAUCAAAAUGUGCCGGUGAAUACGUUCCCCCGGCCUUGUGCACACCCCCCCGUCACACCAUGGGAGUGUGUUGCUCCCCAAAUCCGUAGUCUAACCGCAAGGGGGACGGUUACCACGGAGUGAUACAUGACUGGGGUGAAAUCUUC
rnacentral:rRNA from 1 species